rnacentral:rRNA from 1 species
UACGUAGGGUGCAAGCGUUGUCCGGAAUUAUUGGGCGUAAAGAGCUCGUAGGCGGUCUGUUGCGUCGGCUGUGAAAACCCGGGGCUCAACUCCGGGCCUGCAUCCGAUACGGGCAGACUAGAGUUCGGCAGGGGAGACUGGAAUUCCUGGUGUAGCGGUGAAAUGCGCAGAUAUCAGGAGGAACACCGGUGGCGAAGGCGGGUCUCUGGGCCGAUACUGACGCUGAGGAGCGAAAGCGUGGGGAGCGAACAGG